rnacentral:lncRNA from 1 species
CUUCAGACAUUUGACACCAGUUUAAGGGUUUUUUUUUGGGGGGGAGGGGAGAAAAUUUUACUGCCAAACUAUUAGAAAACAACAUAUUUCGUGUGCGGAUAUAGUGCUAUCACUAUAUUUCCUAUUUUCUGUUUUAAAUUUGGGACAGGGUCUUGCUAUGUAGUGCAGUUUGUAACUCAAACUCAAGAUCCAUUUGCCCCAGUCUCUGAGUGCUAGGAUUUUAUGUGUGCAACCAAGCUUAGCUUAUUUUCUAUUUUCAGGACUACAAAGGUACCUUGCACUUUGAGUGUGUGUGUGAGUAAAGCCCCAGUAGCAUAGGACAUCAUUAUUUUCUAUUUAAUAUGUAAAGUAUAUGUUUUACAUAUUUGAUGGUCGCUUGUGUUGGACAGUCUUUUUCUGGAGUCCAAAAUUUUUCCAAGAAUGACUUGAAAAAUCUUCCCUGUGCUUCUUCCACAAGUUCAGUUCCCAGAAGCUCUGCUUUAAAUAUGUAUUGCUCAUAAAAACGUCAUCUCCUGGUCUCCACUCUUCAUUAUGACCUCAGAUCUUCCUUCUUGAGAACAGACCUCUCCUUAUCGGGCUCCUAUCUCUUUUGAUCACUGAAAUCAUAGACAUAUCACUAUCUAGACCUAUCUUCACUUUCUUUCUGGAUCAGAUAAUAAGGCUUUGUAAUCUUCAAGGGGACUCUUUCACUUAAGCACCUGAUUCUAUCUCUCCUUGUCUCCCCUGAACAGGGGAAGAGAUUGCACGAUGCUCUGAUACUGAUUUUGAACAUGGAAGAUGUGGACAUGAGCCAAAGAAUGAGGCAACCACUAAAAGUUGGAAAAAACAAGUAAACAAAUUCUUCUUUAGACUCUUCAGAAGGAAAUAGCCCUUUAAACAGCCAAUCCUACUUCAAUAAGAUUGAACAGAGGCCUGGGGACAUAUCUCAGUGGGUAAAGUGCUUGCUGUGCAAAUGUAAGAACCUUUGUUCAGAUCCCCAUCACCCUAGUGGAAGCUGGGCAUGGAAGUGCAUACCUGUAACUAGUGCUGUUGGGCAGCCAUACAGCAACACCCCAACCCAAUGCUUCACAACCUUCCUAACGCUGCAACCCCUGAAUACAAUUCCGCAUGUUGUGGUGACCCCAACCAUAAAAUUAUUUUUAUUGCUAUUUCAUAACUGUAAUUUUGCUACUGUUAGCCUCCACACAGGCAUGUGCACACAUGGCGUGCAGCACACAUCCACAAAUAAAAAAGGAAUAUUUUCCACAAAUCCAGUAACUUUAUGUUGGUUCAAUCUGUUAAAUUUGUGGUAAUUUGUAACAGCCAAAGUAAGUCAUCAAAAAGGCAAGGUGGUAGGGCAUCUAAGUAGUUACAGAGUGAGGAUAGGUGUUUAGAAAGAAUUAUCAAAGAUAAUGGUCCCAAAGCUGAUGAGGAAGUGAGGUUGCUUCACGGAGAUAAUGGUCCAGAUGGAAGAGCAAUUAUCUGCAAGGUACACAGAGGAAGAA